rnacentral:rRNA from 1 species
GACGUAGGGCGCGAGCGUUGUCCGGAUUUAUUGGGCGUAAAGAGCUCGUAGGCGGCUUGUCGCGUCGACUGUGAAAUCCCGCGGCUCAACUGCGGGUCUGCAGUCGAUACGGGCAGGCUAGAGUUCGGUAGGGGAGACUGGAAUUCCUGGUGUAGCGGUGAAAUGCGCAGAUAUCAGGAGGAACACCGGUGGCGAAGGCGGGUCUCUGGGCCGAUACUGACGGCUGAGGAGCGAAAGUGUGGGGAGCGAACAGG